UGUAAAGAUUUUCUUAAUUAAGCUAUGAAUGAUUCUCGAGUGAAAGAAAGAAGGAAACUUGGCUGUAAGAUUAUCAAUCAAGUAGAGAUGAAAGUCAACCUUAGU
rnacentral:rRNA from 1 species